rnacentral:rRNA from 1 species
CAGCAGCCGCGGUAAUACGUAGGGUGCAAGCGUUAAUCGGAAUUACUGGGCGUAAAGCGUGCGCAGGCGGUUCGGAAAGAAAGAUGUGAUAUCCCAGAGCUUAACUUUGGAACUGCAUUUUUAACUACCGAGCUAGAGUGUGUCAGAGGGAGGUGGAAUUCCGCGUGUAGCAGUGAAAUGCGUAGAUAUGCGGAGGAACACCGAUGGCGAAGGCAGCCUCCUGGGAUAACACUGACGCUCAUGCACGAAAGCGUGGGGAGCAAACAGGAUUAGAUACCCUGGUAGUCCACGCCCUAAACGAUGUCAACUAGCUGUUGGGGCCUUCGGGCCUUGGUAGCGCAGCUAACGCGUGAAGUUGACCGCCUGGGGAGUACGGUCGCAAGAUUAAAACUCAAAGGAAUUGACGG